rnacentral:rRNA from 1 species
UACGUAGGGGGCAAGCGUUGUCCGGAAUCAUUGGGCGUAAAGCGCGUGUAGGCGGUUCGAUAAGUCUGCUGUGAAAGUCCAGGGCUCAACCCUGGGAUGCCGGUGGAUACUGUCGGGCUAGAGUACGGAAGAGGCGAGUGGAAUUCCCGGUGUAGCGGUGAAAUGCGCAGAUAUCGGGAGGAACACCAAUUGCGAAUGCAGCUCGCUGGGACGUCACUGACGCUGAGACGCGAAAGCGUGGGGAGCGAACAGG